rnacentral:tRNA from 5 species
GAGUUUAUAAUUUAACGGUAAAAUGUUACUUUGAUAAGGUAAAAAUAUUGGUUCGAUUCCAGUUAAACUCA